rnacentral:misc_RNA from 1 species
AAGUAUUUCUACCAACAAAAGAGGUUUGUUUCUGACGCUAGAAACUUUGAAUAAUGAUACAAAUGUUUAGGUAUUAAUAUAAUGCUCAUCAACUAGACUAUGCUAUAGAACCACUAGUUUAUGCUAGUCAGCAUCUAAAUUGGUAGAUAUUGGGUAUCAGUUUAAUCUGUUAUUUCUAGAAUCAUUGAUACUUUGAGAACAGUUCUCUAUGAGGAUUAUUCUUUUUGUCAUGUCAUUCGAAUGAUCUCUAAUCAUUCUUUU